GAUCCUGGCUCAGGAUGAACGCUGGCGGCGUGCUUAACACAUGCAAGUCGAACGAGGAUUUAACGGAAUGCGAUUCGUCAAAUGAAAUUAAAUCCGAGUGGCGGACGGGUGAGUAACGCGUGGAUAACCUGCCUCACACAGGGGGACAACAGUUGGAAACGACUGCUAAUACCGCAUAACACAAGUAAUUCGCAUGAAUAACUUGCCAAAGAUUAUAUCGGUGUGAGAUGGAUCCGCGUCUGAUUAGCCAGUUGGCGGGGUAACGGCCCACCAAAGCGACGAUCAGUAGCCGACCUGAGAGGGUGACCGGCCACAUUGGGACUGAGACACGGCCCAAACUCCUACGGGAGGCAGCAGUGGGGAAUAUUGCACAAUGGGCGCAAGCCUGAUGCAGCGACGCCGCGUGAAGGAUGAAGUAUUUCGGUAUGUAAACUUCUAUCAGCAGGGAAGAAAAUGACGGUACCUGACUAAGAAGCCCCGGCUAACUACGUG
rnacentral:rRNA from 1 species